GAUCCUGGCUCAGGAUGAACGCUAGCUACAGGCUUAACACAUGCAAGUCGAGGGGCAGCAUGAACUUAGCUUGCUAAGUUUGAUGGCGACCGGCGCACGGGUGAGUAACACGUAUCCAACCUGCCGAUGACUCGGGGAUAGCCUUUCGAAAGAAAGAUUAAUACCCGAUGGCGUAAUUCUUCCGCAUGGUAGAACUAUUAAAGGAUUUCGGUCAUCGAUGGGGAUGCGUUCCAUUAGGUUGUUGGG
rnacentral:rRNA from 1 species